rnacentral:snoRNA from 2 species
UCUGGGAAAUGAUGGUAUAAAUUCAAACAGAGGCGAUAGCUUUGCUGAAUUAAUUGUAUUUGCACGUCAGUCUGAUCCCAAU